rnacentral:rRNA from 1 species
AGCAGCCGCGGUAAUUCCAGCUCCAAUAGCGUAUAUUAAAGUUGUUGCAGUUAAAAAGCUCGUAGUUGAAUUUCGGGAUUCUUCGGUUGGUCGGGCUAUCCAGUCUGUACUAGCGUGUAGAAUUCCUACCUUCUGGGGAACCGUCAUGUUAUUAAUUUAGCGUGGUGGGAAACCAGGACCUUUACCUUGAAAAAAUUAGAGUGUUCAAAGCAGGCUUACGUCUGAAUACAUUAGCAUGGAAUAAUAGAAUAGGACGGUGGUCCUGUUUUGUUGGUUUCUGAAUCACCGUAAUGAUUAAUAGGGAUAGUUGGGGGCAUUAGUAUUCGAAUUGUCAGAGGUGAAAUUCUUGGAUUUAUUGAAGACUAACUUCUGCGAAAGCAUUUGCCAAGGAUGUUUUCAUUAAUCAAGAACGAAAGUUAGGGGAUCGAAGACGAUCAGAUACCGUCGUAGUCUUAACCAUAAACUAUGCCGACUAGGGAUCGGACGAUGUUAAAUUUAUUGACUCGUUCGGCGCCUUACG